rnacentral:lncRNA from 1 species
UUCAUUUACCCGUUUGAUUGGUAAUGAUUGUUGCUCCCUUUGAUUGGUCAUCAUUAUAUACCUAGUUGUGGUAUCCCGAUGCCUUUAUUUUCGGUUGAUUUAUCCUUUAUUAACCCAGUAACCGGUUGUGGAUAAUCUUCCAUGCGAGUAUACUAUCCACAUUCUGACGGUAAUGGAUAAUAUAUCUCAUGCACUCUUCAGUCGAAGCCUGUUGUGUUUCCCCUUUAUCCUUUAUUAACCCAGUAACCGGUUGUGGAUAAUCUUCCAUGCGAGUAUACUAUCCACAUUCUGACGGUAAUGGAUAAUAUAUCUCAUGCACUCUUCAGUCGAAGC